GCCCGUAGCUCAGUUGGAAGAGCAUUGGGCUAGUAUUCCAAAGGUCGUAGGUUCGAAUCCCACCGUGGCC